CCUACGGGAGGCAGCAGUGGGGGAUAUUGCACAAUGGGGGAAACCCUGAUGCAGCGACGCCGCGUGGGCGAAGAAGUAUUUCGGUAUGUAAAGCCCUAUCAGCAGGGAAGAAGAAAUGACGGUACCUGAGUAAGAAGCACCGGCUAAAUACGUGCCAGCAGCCGCGGUAAUACGUAUGGUGCAAGCGUUAUCCGGAUUUACUGGGUGGAAAGGGAGCGCAGGCGGCACGGCAAGCCUGAUGUGAAAGCCCGCGGCCCAACCGCGGGACUGCAUUGGGAACUACCGGGCUGGAGUGCCGGAGAGGUAGGCGGAAUUCCUAGUGUAGCGGUGAAAUGCGUAGAGAUUAGGAGGAACACCAGUGGCGAAGGCGGCCUACUGGACGGUGACUGACGCUGAGGCUCGAAAGCGUGGGGAGCAAACAGGAUUAGAUACCCGUGUAGUC
rnacentral:rRNA from 1 species